GAAAGUUUGACUGAGUGGUUUAAAGUGUAAUAUUUGAGCUAUUAUAAAUCUUUAUGAUUUCAUAGGUUCGAAUCCUAUAACUUUCG
rnacentral:tRNA from 3 species